UACGUAGGGCGCAAGCGUUGUCCGGAAUUAUUGGGCGUAAAGAGCUCGUAGGCGGUUUGUCGCGUCUGCUGUGAAAACCUAAGGCUCAACCUUGGGCUUGCAGUGGGUACGGGCAGACUAGAGUGCGGUAGGGGUGACUCGAAUUCCUGGUGUAGCGGUGGAAUGCGCAGAUAUCAGGAGGAACACCGAUGGCGAAGGCAGGUCACUGGGCCGCAACUGACGCUGAGGAGCGAAAGCAUGGGGAGCGAGCAGG
rnacentral:rRNA from 1 species